CUCGACUUGCGCCGCCGCGCUGCCCACACGUGUGUACCUGUACCCCCAAAAACAGCAACACGGGGGUGAGACUAUUGUCCAUAGUCCUCAGUGGGUUGAGCACCCAAGAGAACAAGCUCAGCCACAGGUCUAACGAGGCACUGCAACAUGUUGUACUCAGUCAUAUAGACAACAGUAUAUAUUCAAUUGAAAUACAUGUCAUGCCUCACGAAAUGCAAUAUGCAAAACCUGUAAUCAUGCAAGUAGGUUACUUUAACGCUACUUUUGCUCUUAACCAUUCUUUAUUCUUUGUCAUUUAACGCUUACUUUUAGCUCUUAGCUAUUCUUUACUUGUAACCUCUCUUUAGCUAUUCUUUAUCAUUUAGCUAUUCUUUACUCUUAACAUUCUUGAACCAUGCUAUAUCUUAGCCUUUGGCAUUCUACUCUAAGGUCACUUUAUCUUAGUCAACAAAGCCACCCGACUCGGUCUUGAGUCAAUCAAUCGCGGAUAGUCCGCGCACUGUCUAGCUCGAGGUGAAGGAACUCUCACAUGCACCUCAGCUGGCAACAGCUCACCGUACUCCUGUCCUAGCCGUCUGGCGGCGAACGGAUCGCACCUCACCCAACAACGGCCUAGGUCUAUGACUUAGUCACCCGGCGGCGAAAUCGUCGCACACACGCCACGACAGUGGUUCAGUCAACAGGCGGCAGGAUCCACAAACUGGCUAACCAUCCGGCGGCGAAAUCGUCGCACACGCCACGACAAUGGUUCUUUAGCCCUUGGGCGGCGAAAUCGUCGCACACACCCGACACCACUUUGGGUGUAUCAGCAAGCUUUGGGAUUAACCUUUGUGCCACACUGAGCACGUUCUUUAGCUUCGGGAUUCCGGAAUCCAUUUCACAUUAACCAAGGGUUGGUCCUAACCCUAGGGAACUGACCUCUCUAGGUCUAAGCCUUUACUCAACCUAUGUUACUACAUUAGGUUUAUUGCUUUCACAUUCUUAACCUAGGUUUAUCACACUAGGUUCAUUAUUCUUUCCAACCUAGUUUCACUUGACUCUAGGUUAAGCAGCUUUCAUUUCACAACCUAUGUUCUCUACAUUAGGUUUAACAUCAUUCUUAUUUAACCUAUGUUCUUUACAUUAGGUUCAAAUCACAUCUGUUUAACCUAUGUCCUCGACACUAGGUUCAAUGCUACUCGAUCUAUAGGUGCAUUUAAGUCCAUAUACACAAGUCCUUUACUUGGCAUUCUUUAACAUGCAACAUGCAUUCAUACAUUAUCUUUUGCAUUCUUACAUUAACCUUUCUAUGCAUGCAACAUGGCCACCACGUAUUAUAUACUUUAUGCUUGUCACUUAGCAUGAUUUACACUAUGUCACUAUGCAUUACUUAGCAUUCUUAACAUGUACUUGUAUUUACUAUUUCCAUAUCAUGCUUAUCAUUAUACUUUAGCAUUCUUAUCUCAUGCAUUCUACUUGGCGUUUGUAUCAUGUUAUCAACAUCAUGCUUUCUACUUAGCAUCUUGCUCUAAGCACUAUCGUUAACAUGCAUCAUUUAUAUUAUUUACCAACAUGCAUUUUAUAAUCUCUAUAUCAUUUACAUGCAUCAACUUAGCAUUUAUACUUUAUUUCGCAUGCUCUCUAGCAUUUAUCAACAUGCAUUUAUCAGCUUGCAUUCAUUAUCAUUCAUUUCUAUAUGCAUCAUAAGAAAUCAUAUUUUCUUAGACAUAAAGGCGACCUAGUCGCUUCGGUAAACCAACCCACCUCGAUUCGCGUUCCGAUUGCUUGUCGACACUUGCAAUCGGCCUCCCGCGGCACCCGUAUCCGGCACGGCCCGAUACUGCAACUGCGCCUCAACCGUGCUCCGCUUCGCAGCCCCGAAAAUUAUAGGUCUUCGGUUAUGUGCCACGAUGCCUCAAAUCCAUUUCCAUGAUUUUACGACGUCGCCUCGACCCUCCCGGCGGACCCGAAGCCUAAACGUCCAUUUCUUUAAUAACUUUGUAACGGCUCGUCGGAUUGCCGAACCGUCUUCGCCAACGCGUUUCGGUAUCUAGCAAUUAGGUUUACGAAGGGUCAAAUGAGAUCAAACCCUCAUAUUUUGAAAGUUUGCAUUUUGGAGCCCUAGGUUACAACUAUGCAAGAAAUCACUAAAUUGAUCCAUGAUUCAAGCAUUAAUCAUCUAGAUAGCAUGCUAGGACUCCUCUAAAUCCAUUUAUAAGGUGUUUAAACCAAGCAUUAAAGAUCUACCAUUAAUGGGCUCAAGAAGCUCACCUCAAAAUGAGCUCCAAACCAUGGAGAAGAUGAAGAAGACGAAGGCGAUCCACCUCCAAGCUUCAAUCUCCACCAAAUCUAUUCUUUUUUGGAGAGAUUUAGAGAGAGAAAGAGAGGGUUUUCUCUUCUCCUUCCAUGCAUGUGUGGGUGUGUGCGUGUGGUGUGUGCGGUUGGGGCAGCCACGGUUGGGAGGAGAAGAAGAAAAGGGGUUUUAAACCCUUUUUACCAUUUUGCCCCUCAACUACGCACUAUUCACUUCAGGCAGUUUAUUUUUCGCCGGAGCCCUUCUGAACGUCCGUUUGAACUCAAAUUUGACAGGCAUGCUCGGUUUUACUUAAUAAGUCCAAAUAAAUUUUAAUAUUUCAGUUUCGACCCCGUUUGGUCACUGAAAACUGUGCCGAACUGCAAUCUUUAUCAGAUAGCUUUCGGAUCCUAUUUCUCUCUCUACGGGUGUCAGAAAAAUAUGAAACUUUAAAUCUAGCCUCAUAAAAAUAUUUCUGACAUUCUCGCAAAUAAUCAUAAUUUUCUGAGACUGUACAUUUUUUGCUAAUUUAUCAGUCCCGUUUCCAACAGAAAAUUCUAAAUCUUCCGUUUUCAGUCCGAUUUCAGCACAAGUCAUUUCUGACUUAUGUUUUACUCCUCUAAAUCUAAUAAAAAUAGUAUCUCACACUAUUUUUAUUUAUUUUUAUUUUUAUAUUUAAAAUCCGGUAUGUUACAUUCCACCGCAACUUCACCGGAACCAUUUAAAUGUAUACCGUGACUUCAUGAUUUUAGAAGUUCGGU
rnacentral:lncRNA from 1 species